GACGAACGCUGGCGGCGUGCUUAACACAUGCAAGUCGAGCGGUAAGGCCCUUUCGGGGUACGACGAGCGGCGAACGGUGAGUAACACGUGGGUGACCUGCCCUCAGCUCUGGGAUAAGCCUGGGAAACCGGGUACUAAUACUGGAUAUGACUCCAUGACGCAUGUUGUGGGGUGGAAAGCCUUGUGCGGCUGAGGAUGGGCCCGCGGCCUAUCAGCUUGUUGGUGGGGUGANGGCCUACCAAGGCGACGACGGGUAGCCGGCCUGAGAGGGCGACCGGCCACACUGGGACUGAGACACGGCCCAGACUCCUACGGGAGGCAGCAGUGGGGAAUCUUGCGCAAUGGGCGAAAGCCUGACGCAG
rnacentral:rRNA from 1 species